rnacentral:rRNA from 1 species
UGGGGAAUAUUGGACAAUGGGCGAAAGCCUGAUCCAGCCAUGCCGCGUGAGUGACGAAGGCCUUAGGGUUGUAAAACUCUUUCGUCGGGGACGAUAAUGACGGUACCCGAAGAAGAAGCUCCGGCUAACUUCGUGCCAGCAGCCGCGGUAAUACGUAGGGACCAAGCGUUGUUCGGAUUUACUGGGCGUAAAGGGCGCGUAGGCGGCAUGACAAGUCACUUGUGAAAUCUCUGGGCUUAACCCAGAACGGCCAAGUGAUACUGUCGCGCUAGAGUGCAGAAGGGGCAAUCGGAAUUCUUGGUGUAGCGGUGAAAUGCGUAGAUAUCAAGAGGAACACCUGAGGUGAAGACGGGUUGCUGGGCUGACACUGACGCUGAGGCGCGAAAGCCAGGGGAGCAAACAGGAUUAGAUACCCAAGUAGUCCCUGAGCGGGCUGGCAAGGCGCAU